UCAGAGUGGCCUCACCUCCCUCCAUCUUGCUGCCCAGGAGGACAAGGUGGUUGUCAGUGAGAUACUGGCUACACAUGGAGCCAACCUGGACCAGCAAACUAAGUUGGGCUACACUCCACUGAUUGUAGCGUGUCACUAUGGAAACGCCAAGAUGGUCAACUUCCUCUUACAGAACGGUGCUAGCGUCAACGCCAAGACCAAGAAUGGGUACACUCCCCUCCAC